rnacentral:rRNA from 1 species
CAGAGGGGGCAAGCGUUGUUCGGAAUUACUGGGCGUAAAGGGCGCGUAGGCGGCCUUCUAAGUCGAACGUGAAAUCCCUGGGCUCAACCCAGGAACUGCGUCCGAUACUGAAAGGCUUGAAUCCGGGAGAGGGAUGCGGAAUUCCAGGUGUAGCGGUGAAAUGCGUAGAUAUCCGGAGGAACACCGGUGGCGAAGGCGGCAUCCUGGACCGGUAUUGACGCUGAGGCGCGAAAGCCAGGGGAGCAAACGGGAUUAGAUACCCCGGUAGUCCUGGCCCUAAACGAUGAAUGCUUGGUGUGGCGGGUAUCGAUCCCUGCCGUGCCGAAGCUAACGCAUUAAGCAUUCCGCCUGGGGAGUACGGUCGCAAGGCUG